rnacentral:rRNA from 3 species
CAGUGAAACCGCGAACGGCUCAUUAAAUCAAUCGUUGUUUACUUGAUAGUUAUCUUUACUUGGAUAACUGCGGUAACUCUGGAGCUAAUACAUGCCGAAUCCGCUGUCUCCGGACAGGGGGCUUUUAUUAGAUUCAAGACUACGCCGGGACUAAGUUGCCCGGAUUUUGUUGAACUCUGGAUAACUGCAGGACCGCAGUAAGCCUUGUGCUGGCGGCGUAUCUUCCAAGUGUUUGCCCUAUCAACUUUGGACGGUAGGGUACCGGCCUACCGUGGUUGUAACGGGUAACGGGGAAUCAGGGUUCGAUUCCGGAGAGGGAGCCUGAGAGACGGCUACCACAUCUAAGGAAGGCAGCAGGCGCGCAAAUUACCCAAUCCCCGAACGGGGAGGUAGUGACGAAAAAUAACAAUAUGAAGCCUUCUGGUUUUGUGAUUGGAAUGGACGGGAUAUAAAAACUCCCGUGAGGAUCUAGUGGAGGGCAAGUCUGGUGCCAGCAGCCGCGGUAAUACCAGCCUCCACAAGCAUAUGCAAAAGUUGCUGC